GUUUUAGAGCUAGAAAUAGCAAGUUAAAAUAAGGCUAGUCCGUUAUCAACUUGAAAAAGUGGCACCGAGUCGGUGCUUUUUUUGAGAUCUGUCCAUACCCAUGG
rnacentral:guide_RNA from 1 species